GACGUAGGGCGCGAGCGUUUGUCCGGAAUUAUUGGGCGUAAAGAGCUCGUAGGCGGCUUGUUGCGUCGACUGUGAAAGCCCGCGGCUUAACCGCGUGGUCGGCAGUCGAUACGGGCAGGCUAGAGUUCGGUAGGGGAGACUGGAAUUCCUGGUGUAGCGGUGAAAUGCGCAGAUAUCAGGAGGAACACCGAUGGCGAAGGCAGGUCGCUGGGACGUAACUGACGCUGAGACGCGAAAGCGUGGGGAACAAACAGG
rnacentral:rRNA from 1 species